GGGCCUGUAGCUAAGCUGGGAGAGCGCUGCGUUCGCAUCGCAGAGGUCAAGGGUUCGAAUCCCUCCAGGUCCACCA
rnacentral:tRNA from 1 species